UGGGGAAUAUUGGACAAUGGGCGCAAGCCUGAUCCAGCCAUGCCGCGUGUGUGAUGAAGGCCUUAGGGUUGUAAAGCACUUUCGCCGGUGAAGCGGUAACCGGAGAAGAAGCCCCGGCUAACUUCGUGCCAGCAGCCGCGGUAAUACGAAGGGGGCUAGCGUUGCUCGGAAUCACUGGGCGUAAAGCGCACGUAGGCGGGUCGUUAAGUCAGAGGUGAAAUCCUGGAGCUCAACUCCAGAACUGCCUUUGAUACUGCGACCUAGAGUCGAGAGAGGUUGGUGGAACUCCGAGUGUAGAGGUGAAAUUCGUAGAUAUUCGGAAGAACACCAGUGGCGAAGGCGGCCAACUGGCUCGAACUGACGCUGAGGUGCGAAAGCGUGGGGAGCAAACAGGAUUAGAUACCCUAGUAGU
rnacentral:rRNA from 1 species